UACGGAGGAUGCAAGCGUUAUCCGGAAUGAUUGGGCGUAAAGCGUCCGCAGGUGGCUGUGUAAGUCUGCUGUCAAAGAGCGAAGCUCAACUUCGUAAAGGCAGUGGAAACUACACGGCUAGAGUGCGUUCGGGGCAGAGGGAAUUCCUGGUGUAGCGGUGAAAUGCGUAGAGAUCAGGAAGAACACCGGUGGCGAAGGCGGCAUCCUGGACCAACACUGACACUGAGGAGCGAAAGCCAGGGGAGCAAACGGG
rnacentral:rRNA from 1 species